GUGAAUCUGGAAAAACAGCAGCUCAAAAAGCGAUUGUGAUUUUCAACUUUUUUUCAGAAAACGCACGUGUUUUCCUCAAAUAAACCAUUCCUCUAUUCUAGCGAGAGGCUCCACUAAAUCAUUCAUGAAGCACACUUCAACUUGAUAAAACAUAAUUUUGAAGGCGACACGGAAACACGUGUUUUUGCUCAUGUGCCACUGACAUCCUCCAACAACAGAUAAGUUUCUGAGGUGAAAAAUGAAGGAGGAUACAUUCAUCAUGCGUUUAUGACAUUGAGCAGGGCACCUACCUUCAUCUCUAGAUGCGAGGAGUUUUUCGAAGUACUCAGCUGCGAAUCGGUAGAUAUCGACCGGCUGCUCCCUCAAAACAGCUCCAGCAAGACCCUCCAGCAGCGACUCCAAGCCCAGAGGAAUGAAAAGGAAGAAGACCUUAUCGCAUACUAUUUGUGUUCAAAGGAUACAGCAUUACACGAGCGAAACACGAACGUGAC
rnacentral:lncRNA from 1 species